ensembl:lncRNA
AGCUGCUCCUACAAGCGGCUACGCGCUUCUCGCGGGCUGCGGCUUAGUCAUCUGAGUUGCAGAGUCACGAGGGGGAAGCUGGAAUCCGGGUGACAAAGAGAAGUCACCCGGCCAACUGUGUCAUCUGAAAGCGGUAACUGCUCGAAAGCCCCGCUUUCAUCUGUAAAACUGGUUAACUGCACGGCCGGCCGGGUGCUUCUAGGGGAAAAGGCAAGUUACAGAACAGUAUGUACAGUGUGGUCCCGGUUUCUCAAAAAGACUGUGUUUAUGUUUACAUUUUUCAAAUUCAAGGAGACUAUACAUCAGAUUCUUACAGUUGUUUGAGGUGAAACAAAGAGUUUCAGUUCUUUUUCGUGCAUUUUUUAAUCAUUUGAAGUUUUUACAAAGUAGAUAAUAUCUUUGAGCCUUUAUCUGUGAAAUGAUAAUAACACCUACCUUGCAGGUUUAUAAUGAAAACUGGAUAAGAUAAUGCAUGGAAACAGCCCCAUGAAUCAUCCAUUGAUAUGAUAAAUGUUUUGCCUUUUUCUUCUCUUUAAUGGUGUGGCAUUUUGUAUUUGUCAAAAAUGCACCUCAAACAUUAACUACCCUUAGGCUUAGACCCUCCAAUCCUCCUAUACAGAAAUUCAGCUCCAAAGGGUUCUGGUCUGUGUUAGGGAAACCCAAAGAGAUAACAAAGAGCAAGCCACCACAAGACAAGGGAGAUGCUGGUUUUGCCUCUGUCCGGUUUUCACAGUGUAUCUCCCACGCAGCCUGGCUCCUAAGGGACGGGAAAGGAGGGUCUCAGCUGUACUAUUGGGAGAGCCAGACCACAUCCUGCCUUGGGAUCUCAGAAGUGAACUCAGGAAAUUUGUACAAACAGCAAUCUACAGAAAGGUAGGGAAUUAGAUCUCCUUAGGGCACUUGAAGUCUGCAACCACAGUUCUCCCUUCCCUCUCCUCUGUAUGCCCUGGAACUUUCCAGACCAAACAAAGCCUGCAAAACUAGCUGAGUUUGCUGAUCAAUGAAAGGCAGCUCAUCAGUCCUAGCACAAGCUCUUUCCUCUACCUGGAACAUCUUCCUCCAGAUACUCACAUGCUUAGCUGCCUGUCCUCCUUCAAGUGUUUGUCAAAUGCCCUUAGUCUUUCGGGGUUGCUACAACAAAAUCCCAUAAGCUAGGGAGCUUACAAGGAACAGAGACUCACUUCUCACAGUUCUGAAGCCUGGAAAGUUACCAAAUCAGUCAACUUGGAGUCAGGUCAUUUAGGUGAAUAAGGACACUUUAUCCAUCCUCCUGAAGAAUAUUGGACUCUAACCAAGCAAGUCUCAGAGCAUUCUGCCUGGAACAGGGAGCAACCAGCUUAACUCUGGGCAGCCAAAGGUAACAGCCAGCCAAAAGGACAAAGAAGAGCUUCACUUCUGAGCCUCACCAGUGGGUGCUACCCUCUGACCAGCUUUCUCUAUACAGUCAGCAAUGCCAAGACUGGUUUCUUCAACAAAAACCCAAAGGCAGAUUUACCUCCUCUCUCCACUGGCUCUUGUACCUUGCUACAAAUUCACAACAAGGUCAAUUGAGCAUAAGCGUCCACAUUUGUAGCUGUUUUGCAGAAUAGUUUUGCAUUUGUUGGGUCUUAUAAUAAAAU